rnacentral:rRNA from 1 species
UGCGUAGGCUGGCGAUUAAGUCAGUGGUGAAAUCCUACAGCUUAACUGUAGAACUGCCAUUGAUACUGGUUGCCUGGAGUUCAGUAGAAGUAUGCGGAAUGUGACAUGUAGCGGUGAAAUGCAUAGAUAUGUCAUAGAACACCAAUUGCGAAGGCAGCAUACUAGACUGAAACUGACGCUGAGGCACGAAAGCGUGGGGAGCGAACAGGAUCAGAUACCCUGGUAGUCC